rnacentral:rRNA from 1 species
CCUACGGGAGGCAGCAGUGGGGAAUAUUGGACAAUGGGCGCAAGCCUGAUCCAGCCAUCCCGCGUGGAGGAAGAAGCCCUUUGGGGUGUAAACUCCUUUUCUGGGGGAAGACGACUGACGGUACCCCAGGAAUAAGGGGCGGCUAACUACGUGCCAGCAGCCGCGGUAAUACGUAGGCCCCAAACGUUAUCCGGAGUUACUGGGCGUAAAGGGUCCGUAGCCGGGUGAGUAAGUCUACCUUCAAAGGCUGGAGCUUAACUCCAGUAAGGGGGUAGAUACUGCUCAUCUAGAGAUGCUAGGGGGUUAGUGGAAUUCCCGGUGGAGCGGUGGAAUGCGUUGAUAUUGGGAAGAACGCCAAAAGCAGAAGCAGCUAACUACUGAUAAUCUGACGGUGAGGGACGAAAGCAUAGGUAUCAAACAGGAUUAGAUACCCUGGUAGUCUAUGCUGUAAACGAUGUGAGCUAGGCGUUGGUCUGUUGAUCAGUGCUGAACCAAACGGGAUAAGCUCACCGCCUGGGGAGUAUAGCCGCAAGGCCGAAACUCAAAAGGAUAGGCGGGGGAACACACAAGCAGUGGAUCGUCUCGAUUAAUUGGAUAAUAAGCCAAGAAUCUUACCCGGGCUUGACAUGCUAGGGAACCCUGCCGAAAGGUGGGGGUGCCCCGUAAGGGGAGCCCUAGCACAGGUGCUGCAUGGCCGUCGUCAGCUCGUGCCGCAAGGUGUCCGGUUAAUUCCGGUAACGAGCGCAACCCUUGCCCCUAGUUAGAGAUGUCUAGGGGGACUGCCGGGGUAACCCGGAGGAAGGAGAGGACGACGUCAGGUCAUCAUGGCCCUUAUGUCCGGGGCAUCAGAGGCGAUACAAUGGGGUGUACAAACCGAAGCGAAGCCGCGAGGUGGAGCAAAUCGGAGAAAGCACCUCUAAGUACGGAUUGUAGUCUGGAACUGACUACAUGAAGUUGGAAUUGCUAGUAAUGGUGGGUCAGAACACCACCGUGAAUAUGUCCCUGUUCCUUGCACUCACCGCCCGUCACACCAUGGGAGCUGAGUUUUUCUGAAGACUCUUAAUAGGGAUUGAGGAAAAACUUGGCGACUGGGGUGAAGUCGUAACAAGGUAUCUCUACGAGAACGUGGAGAUG